rnacentral:rRNA from 1 species
AGAUUGAACGCUGGCGGCAUGCCUUACACAUGCAAGUCGAACGGCAGCACGGGAGCAAUCCUGGUGGCGAGUGGCGAACGGGUGAGUAAUAUAUCGGAACGUGCCCAGUCGUGGGGGAUAACGCAGCGAAAGCUGUGCUAAUACCGCAUACGAUCUAUGGAUGAAAGCGGGGGAUCGCAAGACCUCGCGCGAUUGGAGCGGCCGAUAUCAGAUUAGGUAGUUGGUAGGGGUAAAGGCUCACCAAGCCGACGAUCUGUAGCGUGGUCUGAGAGGACGACCAGCCACGCUGGAACUGAGACACGGUCCAGACCUCCGUACGGGAGGCAGCGAGGUAGGGGUAA